AUGCAGGCCCGCGUCGUCGUCUUCCCCAUCAGGGGCCGCGCCUGGUGCUUCGCCCGCCCGCGCCCCGUCCUCCCCGCCACCUCCGCCUCCGCCUCCGCCGCGGGCAGCGGCGCUCUUCCGCCGCCGCCCACCCUCAAGGACCUCUGGCUCGGGAUCUCCGCCGGCGGCCGCACGGCGCCCGAGAAUGCCGAGGCCGUGGCCGACUUCGUCGCGGACAAGAUGAACAGGGCGUGGAUUGGUUUCGGCAGCGCGCCGGAGGGAUCAGUAAAGAGGCGGAUCCACAGCUUUGGGUUAAAGCUGCUUUCGCGGGUGCGGCCGUCGGAGACUCUGUUGAAGUCACUGACCAAGGAUGUCUCCAUGCUUGAAAUCGUCCACCCUGCAAGUAUAAAUCCUCGUCUCGUGCGCCGACGCCUGCGGCACAUUGCUGUUAGGGGUGCGGCUAUUCACAAAAAAUAUCUGUAUGGCAGCAUUUGCAUGCUUCCAGUAACGAGUGUUUUCAUGGUGCUGCCUUUGCCAAACAUACCAUUUUUUUGGACGCUGUUUCGAGCUUAUUCUCACUGGCGAGCUCUCCAGGGAAGCGAGAGACUCCACUUGCUAGUUUCAGACUGCUCAGGUGAAGGGAAAACCCUUCCCGAGAAGAAAAAUGGAAUGAGUACAAGAAAGGAUGACGACUCACAGUAUGCUCCUUGGAACUUUCAGCCAUCACAGAAGCUCGAUGGGUUCCUUAAGAGGAGAGGCUUGGAUGAGGGUCUGGAUUGCGACACUAUUUCAAGGAUAUGCCAGACGUACGACUUGGACAAGGUUGAUGUCCUGAAGUACAGGGAUCUGGAGUGGCCUAGCUCAGCUUCUCGCACUACCUAG
rnacentral:rRNA from 1 species